rnacentral:lncRNA from 1 species
AGUCUCCCUGCAGCUUCAAGUGGCAUCAAAGAGGGUAUGUAUACUUUGUUUAAUUAUCACUUGCUCUUCUGGAAAUACUUCUUUGAUGGCCUGUGUGUAGAAAUGUGCUAAUUUACAAAUGGAUGCUUCCAUUUGCCAAGUAGAACAGUUCAAUGCAAAUGAAAGAACUCUUCCUUUACAUUUAGGAAACUUUUUUUUUAUUUUUUCCAAGUGGGACAGAUCACCUCUGCCCAAUUAUGAACUUGUUCUGCUGACUCUCAGCAAUUCAAGACUGUUAAUUAAAUUGGAAACUGCUUCCUUUCUGUGGUGCAGUGGAAAGGAUUUAUAAGACAUACAUGCCUUAUAUAUAUCUUAUAUAUGGUGGGUUUUUUUUUUAAAGGAAAAUGCGUCUGUUGAAUCUUUGUAUUGGUGUAUAAACCAGUCCUGACUUGGCCUGGAGCAAGACUGCUGAUGGCAAAUUGAGACCUGGAGACACAUCUCAUUGCCUGAUGGAUGGGAGAAGCCACCCAGCCAUGUUGCCUCAUUUUUCUCAGGAGGAGGGAGGACUAGACUUCUGUUCAGAGGAAAUAAAGCACAGGGUCAGAGGUCAGAGGGCAUUAGUCUAUAAAGUUUUAUGACCUGUAGCUGACAGUUAUUUCUCUUGGAUAAAGGAACAAGAGGAAAAAAAGACAACUUGUACUUGUUCUCUUUCUCAUUUCUUAUCUCUCUCUGAAUUUAAUUUCCUUGUUGCAUUCGAUCCCAAAACAUUGCUUUCUCAGCAUUUCUAUUAUUUAGUCUUCACUAUCUCAUUCAUUUUUACUACUGUUUGCUCCAGAAUUCUAUUUCCCUUUUCUCAGUCGUGUUAUUACUGUUUUAUUUGUUUCAGCCAGCUUGUCAUCCUUCUCCAGGAACUUACUGUUAGCAAAGACUUGCUUACUGACAAAUUCCUGCCUCCUUGAAGAAAUGCUGAAUUAAAUUGUUGAGAUAAAUCCUUUAUGUUCUUGUAAAUUUUUUUCUAUUAUUAAGGUUAUUUUCUUAAUUUUAUAUUUAUUUUUGUAUUUUUACAUUUUAUUUUGGGCGUUGGAUGAUGGGAAAUAGACUGAAGGAUAACAAACAAUAGCUACACUAUCUUUUUAAACAUCUAUUUUUAAUGUUUUGCUCUCUAUUUCAUUAAAAAUUAUUGAAUAUUAGGCUUAAUUUUACAGACUUCUCUGCAAGUUUAAAAAUAAAAUGAACCUCAGUACAUGCAUCUAUGUAAUUUAUUUGGAAGAAGAUAUUUCUGAACAUUAAUGGAAAUAUGUUCAUUUUGGUUGUUUAAACCAUACAAAGAUUAUGAAUAAAAUAAAGAGUAGAUUAUAGAAUAAUAGAACUCUACAGACCUCCUAUGAACUUCAAAAGAAAAUUAAAAUAAAAAAAUGAGUCUGGAAUAGGAGUAAUGGAGAUCAGAGGCAGAGAGAUUGUUAUAGAAUGAAUUUGAGAUGAAUCAUGUGGCCCUUCAUGUCCAUCAGAAUCAUCAAUAACUGUCAUUUUCUGCGUGAUAGCUAGAACGAAAGCUUCUUUAAGGUAGCUCUGUGUCUUGUGUGGAGCUCUAUGUCUAGCCUCUAGCAUAAUUCCUGACACACAAGAAGUACUCAUUAAAUAUGUGCCCUGUGAGUCAAUGACUGAACACAAUUAUCAAAGACUUAUGGUAAUGGGAUUCUGAUUGCAGGAACCUCCUGUUCGCAUAUCUGUCCUCUAUCACACUAUAGCCCACAGUGUAGUUCUGGUGGUUCUCUAUGUGCACUGUGUUUUCUCACUUUAGGUUUCACCACUGUGCUGCCUGACUGGAGCAGACUCCACUCUCUAACCACCUUUACUUCCUUGCUUCUUUCAGCAUUACAUUUAGAUGACCCUCCUCAGGAGCUUGGUGAGGUGCUGCAACACAUAACAUGCAUCCGACUCUACUGGAGUUGCAUGUUUGACUUGCUAGACUAAAAGCAUCUUGAAGGUAAAAAGAGUGUCUUACACAGCUCUGUACUCUCAAUGCCUAGCCCAGAGCAUGAGACAAAAUAGAAGCUAACAUACCUGUUGAAUUAAUAAUGAAUGAAGGAGCAACAACAAAAACAGGAAGAAAUGGAAAGGAGAGAGUAGCAGAUAAUGGCAAGAACGGGUUGAAAAGCAGUCCUCUGCCUUUACCUUGAGAAUACAAAGCACAGUCUUAUACAACAAUUAAAUUGAUUUUGAUUCCAGUGCCCUCCUAUGUGGACCAUCUGGUUAGAUAUUUGUUGUUCUGAGAGAUUAAAGGUAAGGAAUAAGUUGGGUAGUGCAGAUUGUUCAGUUAAGAGUAUAAAUGACUGGAAGUGAGAGGUAGCAUCAUGUGUGGGCAUUGUCCCAGCCAAAAAGUGGGGAGGGCACUAUGGUGGAUUCUCCCACUCUACCUGCUAGAACUUAUGCCCCACUAUCCCUUAAUGCAUUCCUUCUCAUCUGGUUAAAUCUACAUGUUUACUGACUCUAUAAAAAUACCUUAUUAAUUUCUACUUUACCACCUUUUCUCAGUUUCCCUCUUUUCUGUUGUCUCUUCUCCCUCUUCUCACAUACAAAAAUAUGAUCCUUCAAAAAUCAGUUCAUAUUUUUCUGCCCUCAGACUAUUCUAAGAAGUGAAAAUGAAUCUAAGCCUGCUAUUUUCAGAACACCUGCAAUAUUGCCACCUACACUAUACAACUGAUAGAUGACAUAACUAUGAAUAACAUUGUAUUGCCCACUGCUUUAACCACUCAAUUUGUCUCCCAACCAGACUAUAAACUCUUUCAGUUCAGGUAUUACACUUUGAACUUUUUAUAAUCCUUUAAAGCACUUGGCCUAAUAACAUGCUAGUUACCCCAUGAAUAAUUGAUUGAGAAAUUGGGUUACUAGAUAACUUAUAUAUAUGUAACAUCAUCCUCAGACAGCUCUCUGAUUAUCCUACCCAAAUUUUUCUUUUGGAGCAUCCUGAUUUUAUGAUUUUAUAUGGAUAUAUGUAUGUAAUCAUAGAAAUGGUUAUAGUUACAGAUGUAAAUAUAGAGAAGUAGAAAGAGUCCUUUCAUUGUUUUAUUGGACACUUCAUAUUCAAGAAAUUCUUAUGCUUGCAAGCUUCUUUUCUCUUAUGUCUUUCUAAGAGGGCAUGAUAAACAGUUGUUUACUGCCUUUUGAAUAAUGGACUGUCACAAAUGCUACUUCUGGUUUCCUCCUUUCUUGGCUAAACAACCUUAGCCCCUUUAGACAUUUAAAUGCCAUGAGCAGAUGCUCAAUAAUAUUACUUGGUGGUUAGCCAUAAUUUAUAGUGCUUAUUUAUGGAAGUAGAUGAAAACAGAAGUCUUAUGUAUUUUUAAACUUUUCUUUCACAUAUGGCGUACUUUACAGAGAGUGAGGAUUUGGAUGAAUGGAUAGAUGAAUGCAGCUAAUAUUAUCAUUUUGGUCUCAUCUAAAAGCGGGGAAACAUAGGAAACAUUAGAAAGAAAGCUAAAAUGCACAAGAUGCUAUUUUACUAUUAACUCAGACUUUUCUUAUGCCAGAUGGUGUUGGAGGAAAGCUUUUGUUUUCUUGAUGAUAGGCAUCUUCUUUUAAUUUUGCCAACCAGACACAGUUCCUCUCUUUUCAGCAUGCAGAGACACAGCAGCCAUCUUUUAUACACCUCUUAGAUACAGUAACUGGUUUGGCAUUUCCUGGUGACUGUGAGUCUGACAAUUGCUCAGAAUUUCAUCACUGCUUCAGUCAUGUGUAGAAGAUGCUCCCAGAGAUAAGCAUAAGACCCCCAUCAGUAGAGUUAUUUUAGGCUCAGCUUUACUUAAACAGCAUCAAAUUCUAAUUGGGCCUACCAGACUUAAUUUAAGGAGCUAGAGUGGAUGAACAACGAUGUACUGUGACAUCCAAAAUAUCAACACAACGUUAUAUGUAAUCACAAGUAUGUAUCUGUGUGUGUGUGUGCAUGUGAUGUAUAUGGUAGAGGGGAGGGCGAUGUGGGUGCAGGUUGGUGGGCUGAAGACAUCUUUAACCUUGCUUUUGUACUAUAUCAGAUAGGUCUUGGUACUGCCCCUGAAGAAAGACCUGAGUAUAAAAGGGAAGGGUAACUAAAUAAGCAAAAGAGAAAGAGGUCGCCAUGCUAGUAAAACUAGAUCUUGAGAUGUUAGGAAACUGAGAGGUCAGUUAACACAACUUCUUACUUGAUGGGGAAUGCCAUUUCAUUGUCAUCAGUGAAUAUCAACUAUCCUUGAAAGUCUAUAUUAAAAGAUUAUUAUUUAUUUUGCAAACACAAAGACAGAGAAAGAAGAAUUGAAACUAUUAAUUUUCAGUUAACAGUUGGGAAGGCUAAAGAUAGGGUAAGCAUGGAUUUAGUCACCUAUUAGCAGAAAGUCAGGCUUAAAGGCACUUCUUGAAGCUGAGAGGUGGGUUUGUGCUUGUGGCAUUUAGCUUGGCAGGAUAGAAUGUAAAUUACACCUCUUGUCCUAAGAGCUGGAUUCUAGCACAGUCUCCAUCAUUAGCUAGCUAUGUAGCACUGAGCUAUACACAUGACUUCUUACCUGUAAAAUGAUCGGGUAGGAUUAAAUGAUGAUUCCUAAGUUCUUUUCCAGCAAGAAAUUAUGUGAUCCUAAAGCAAAUAUUUACUUCUAACAGUAGAUCAACUGUAGUACUGACAUGAAUCUCAAGUUUUCUAUCACAUUCUCCUCUACUGAAAAUUAUAUCAUCAUUGUGUCUGCCUCAUAGGCUUGCUCCAUAUCUUUUUUCUCUGAGCCCUACAUUUUUCUUUAUAAGAUUAUCUUGCUUCCAGUUUCCUCCCACAGACUCAGUGUUGGAUUAGAGAGGUAUUAGUGAUCACGAGGAUGAUUCUAAGGCUAUUAUGUAUCUUAUCCAGAUUGUAUACUGCACAAGGGUACCCAACUGAAGGAGCAAGUGGGAGCUGCAAGCAGGGUGCCUUGGGUAGAUGCAUCCACCUGAAGGCAGGCAUGCUAUUGCUAAUCCCACUCUAGGGUAUUGGCUUAGGGUAUUCUGAAAAGUGAGAUUCACCCAUUUGUUCUAUGAUCUGAAAAGGUCUGAAAUAUACCAACACUAUUAGCAUUGAUUCUCCAAUGCUGAACAUAUAUCACAAAACCAAUUACAAGAGACUCUGCGAUUAAAAAAGAGAUGUUACAUAUCAGUUCCUCUUAAGGGGCAAAACAUUCCAAGACAGCUGAGAUUAAACUUUUGCAUCACCUAUCUUGUUGGAAUAACAGUACAUUAUCAUGGGAGAACACAUUUUUAAAUGAAAUGUAUUGGACAAAACAUCCUCCAGGCUAACUUGCACUGAAUCCCUGCUGAAUGAUCUCAAAUGAAUAAAACAAAUUAUAUACACUGCAUUAGGCCUUAGCACGCAUAGUACCAUCACAAGGAGAUUCAAACACUCUGUAGGUGCCCUGCCUGGCAGGGGAAGGCAAAUCUCAUUGAAGCACUUGUUGGUAAUCCUUCUUUCUCAUGAAGAAUUCGGUAGACUUUUCUGCAGAUAUUCAGCAAACUAUUUGGUGUCUGGAGUGAAAAUGUGGUGUAUAAGGCUGCCCUAAAAUUUCAUGGAAAAUGUAAAUUGCCUGAGUUUUCUUCCAAAUCAAAUCAGACUGAAAAUGGCUCCCACAGCUUCUUCCUUCAACCAUAAGAUGUUCCCAUUAGUGCCAAUUAAUGCUGAGACCCUAGCAAUCUGUGUGCAUGAUUCAUUAAUGAGGAGCCUCAUUUAUAGUUGAAAAAGUAAUGCAAUGGAGCAACUGCAAUAAUGUCCUGCUUUUUCCGCACUGACCUGUGCUCUGCCAACUGCUGACCUCUCCCCACAGAGAAGAUUUCCUCCAGCUGAUCAAUGGCAGCAUAUGCACAGGGGCAGUGGACAUGGCAACAAUGAAGGUAAGAUUUCACCUUCAUAGUACCAUUCCAACCUCCAUGCUUACUUGAGACCAAACAUGAGACUGAGAUUCUCUUUCUUCUUAAAUGAAAGUUCUAAUUUAAUUAAGGAAGGAACAGAGAAGCCAAGACUCUAUUACUCUGCAGCACGUUGCUUUUCUACAAGGUCUCCACUUCAUCAACAUUCUCUAAAUCUGUAGAAUAUCCUGCUAUCCUCAUUACUAACAUGAUACCAAAAAACAAACUGGCUCAAUUAAUUUGUAAUGCUGCUCUGUGUGCGAGAUGCUGGUUUUUACAAUAUAAAUAUAUAUGUACAUCUUUUUAAUUUUGCCUGAGUAUUUCACUGCAAUCACUGCAGAUAUGAUAGUUAUUUAUUUGGCUGUAACAGUCAAGUCAACGUUUCCCUCUGUCUUGCUGCAUCCUUCCUAUUCUCCAACCUAAACAGGGAUACAAACAAGAAGGGACUGGAAUUCUGGACACCAGCCAGUGUCCCAAAUCUGCUGUAGCCACAGAGUAGGGAGAAUGCAGCCUCAAGUCUAGAAAGCCAGGAAACACUAAUCCUCUUCAAAAUGAGAAAGUGGCUCUCUCUGCCUUGGAGGGGAAAACACACCAGGCCCAGCAAUCUCUUUUCUCCAUGAACUUGGCAAGCAUUUUUCUCCCCACUCCCACUCUUCCUGCUCAUAGAAGAAAGCAUGACACACUUAUUAGCAGAGUCAUUUUAAAUACUGUUUUGCUUAAAACAGCAUCAAAUUCUAAACAAAAAUCUGUGGGUUUUAAUUUUAAUUUUUAGUUUAUUUCUGGUGGCAGCUGGGCUAAAAUAUAAUUUUAUACUUUCUACAAACAACAGUGUAAGUAACAUUGAAGAGGAAAUAUUUAUGCUGCUGAUACGGUUUGGCUGUAUGUCCCCACCUAAUUCUCAUCUGAAACUAUAAUCCGCGUGUGUUGAGGGAGGGACCUGGGGGGGAGGCGAUGGAAUCAUGGGGGUGGUUCCCCCACACUGUUCUCAUGAUAGUGAGUUUGAAUUCUCAUGAGACAUGUUGGUGUUUUUUUUUGUUUUUUUUUUUGAGACAGAGUUUCUCUCGUCACCCAGGCUGGAGUGCAAUAGCGCGAUCUCGGCUCACA